rnacentral:sRNA from 1 species
UCGAGCGAGGUUACGGAUUGGGUAACUAAUUUGUAGCUUCCCGGCGGACGGGUGAGUAACGCGUGGGUAAUCUACCUUGGAGUUCGGAAUAACACCUCGAAAGGGGUGCUAAUACCGGAUAUCGUCCCAGGGGUUUCGGCCCCGGGGAUGAAAGAUGGCUGAGGCUUGCAAGCUAUUGCUCCAAGAUGAGCCCGCGUACCAUUAGCUAGUUGGUGGGGUAACGGCUCACCAAGGCAAUGAUGGUUAGCUGGUCUGAGAGGAUGACCAGCCACUCUGGAACUGAGACACGGUCCAGACUCCUACGGGAGGCAGCAAUGGG